rnacentral:rRNA from 1 species
AUUGAACGCUGGCGGCAGGCUUAACACAUGCAAGUCGAGCGGUAGCACAGGGGAGCUUGCUCCCUGGGUGACGAGCGGCGGACGGGUGAGUAAUGUCUGGGAAACUGCCUGAUGGAGGGGGAUAACUACUGGAAACGGUAGCUAAUACCGCAUAACGUCGCAAGACCAAAGAGGGGGACCUUCGGGCCUCUUGCCAUCAGAUGUGCCCAGAUGGGAUUAGCUAGUAGGGGGGGUAAUGGCUCACCUAGGCGACGAUCCCUAGCUGGUCUGAGAGGAUGACCAGCCACACUGGAACUGAGACACGGUCCAGACUCCUACGGGAGGCAGCAGUGGGGAAUAUUGCACAAUGGGCGCAAGCCUGAUGCAGCCAUGCCGCGUGUGUGAAGAAGGCCUUCGGGUUGUAAAGCACUUUCAGCGAGGAGGAAGGUGGUGAACUUAAUACGUUCAUCAAUUGACGUUACUCGCAGAAGAAGCACCGGCUAACUCCGUG